GGUUCAGUGGUGUAGUUGGUUAUCACGUCUGUCUCACAUCAUGUAGGUGCACAGGAGGUCUCCGGUUCGAGCCCGGACUGAACCA